rnacentral:misc_RNA from 1 species
AGCAGCCGCGGUAAUUCCAGCUCCAAUAGCGUAUAUUAAAGUUGCUGCAGUUAAAAAGCUCGUAGUUGAAUUUCGGGAUCAAUAUGUCGGUCGUGCCUCGGUACGUACUGGCUUAUUGGUUUCUCCUUUCUGAAGAACCAUGAUGUCAUUUAUUUGGUGUCGUGGGAAAUCAGGACUGUUACUUUGAAAAAAUUAGAGUGUUUAAAGCAGGCUCACGCUUGAAUACAUUAGCAUGGAAUAAUGAAAUAGGACGUUUGAUUCUAUUUUGUUGGUUUCUAGGAUCGACGUAAUGAUUAAUAGGGAUAGUUGGGGGCAUUAGUAUUCAAUUGUCAGAGGUGAAAUUCUUGGAUUUAUUGAAGACUAACUACUGCGAAAGCAUUUGCCAAGGAUGUUUUCAUUAAUCAAGAACGAAAGUUAGGGGAUCGAAGACGAUCAGAUACCGUCGUAGUCUUAACCAUAAACUAUGCCGACUAGGGAUCGGGCGAUGUUGUUUCAAUGACUCGCUCGGCACCUUAUGGGA